UAGGGAAUCUUCCGCAAUGGGCGAAAGCCUGACGGAGCAACGCCGCGUGAGUGAUGAAGGUCUUCGGAUCGUAAAACUCUGUUAUUAGGGAAGAACAAAUGCGUAAGUAACUAUGCACGUCUUGACGGUACCUAAUCAGAAAGCCACGGCUAACUACGUGCCAGCAGCCGCGGUAAUACGUAGGUGGCAAGCGUUAUCCGGAAUUAUUGGGCGUAAAGCGCGCGUAGGCGGUUUUUUAAGUCUGAUGUGAAAGCCCACGGCUCAACCGUGGAGGGUCAUUGGAAACUGGGAAACUUGAGUGCAGAAGAGGAAAGUGGAAUUCCAUGUGUAGCGGUGAAAUGCGCAGAGAUAUGGGGGAACACCAGUGGCGAAGGCGACUUUCUGGUCUGUAACUGACGCUGAUGUGCGAAAGCGUGGGGAUCAAACAGG
rnacentral:rRNA from 1 species